UACGUAGGGACCAAGCGUUGUUCGGAUUUACUGGGCGUAAAGGGCGCGUAGGCGGCGUGGUAAGUCACUUGUGAAAUCUCCGAGCUUAACUCGGAACGGUCAAGUGAUACUGCUGUGCUAGAGUACAGAAGGGGCAAUCGGAAUUCUUGGUGUAGCGGUGAAAUGCGUAGAUAUCAAGAGGAACACCUGAGGUGAAGACGGGUUGCUGGGCUGAUACUGACGCUGAGGCGCGAAAGCCAGGGGAGCAAACGGG
rnacentral:rRNA from 1 species